rnacentral:rRNA from 1 species
UAAGACGAACCGUGCGAACGUUGUUCGGAAUCACUGGGCUUAAAGGGCGCGUAGGCGGGCUUGCAAGUCAGGGGUGAAAUCCCACGGCUCAACCGUGGAAGUGCCUUUGAUACUGUGAGUCUCGAGGGAGGUAGGGGCGUGCGGAACUUCCGGUGGAGCGGUGAAAUGCGUAGAUAUCGGAAGGAACACCGGUGGCGAAAGCGGCGCGCUGGACCUCUACUGACGCUGAGGCGCGAAAGCCAGGGGAGCAAACGGG